UUUGACCUUGUUGAACUUAGGAUAAAUCACUUGGACCUUUCAAGGUUGAUUUGAGGUGAUUUUGAAGUUUGACCUUUCCAUUUAUUUUAAUUCAAGUUUAUUUUAAGUAUUAAAAAAAUGCCAAAAAUAGUUUAUUCAUUUCUUGACUUCCAAUCUUCAUCUCACUUCAGUUUUUGAUUGUUUGACCUUGACUUUCAAUGUUAUUGGUCAACAUAUGAGGAUUGGUACAUGAUGCUCCAUUUAAUGCAUUUAUAUUUCUUCUACCAUUUUGUCAUUUCCAU
rnacentral:lncRNA from 1 species